GACGGAGGAUGCAAGUGUUAUCCGGAAUCACUGGGCGUAAAGCGUCUGUAGGUGGUUUAAUAAGUCAACUGUUAAAUCUUGAGGCUCAACCUCAAAAUCGCAGUCGAAACUGUUAGGCUAGAGUAUAGUAGGGGUAAAGGGAAUUUCCAGUGGAGCGGUGAAAUGCGUAGAGAUUGGAAAGAACACCGAUGGCGAAGGCACUUUACUGGGCUAUUACUAACACUCAGAGACGAAAGCUAGGGUAGCAAAUGGG
rnacentral:rRNA from 1 species